rnacentral:rRNA from 1 species
UACGUGGGGUGCGAGCGUUGUCCGGAAUUAUUGGGCGUAAAGAGCUUGUAGGCGGUCUGUCGCGUCUGCUGUGAAAAUCCGGGGCUCAACCCCGGACUUGCAGUGGGUACGGGCAGACUAGAGUGUGGUAGGGGAGACUGGAAUUCCUGGUGUAGCGGUGAAAUGCGCAGAUAUCAGGAGGAACACCAAUAGCGAAGGCAGCUCGCUGGGACGUUACUGACACUGAGGCGCGAAAGCGUGGGGAGCGAACAGG